ensembl:lncRNA
GAAAACAUUGAUUGCUUUUUCUAUUCCCAUAGUAACAUUUUCUCACUCUAUAUUUAUCAAUAUUGAAAAUAGAAAAGGAUUUAACAAAUGUCUCUGAACUCUUGCCACAAAUGGGUAUUAAAAAGUUUGUAUUAGAUGAUUAUUUUUAUACAUUUAUUUAAUAUUUUUUAGUAAUCUCUUUACCUAGUAUGGGGCUCAAACUCACGACCCUGAGAUCAAGAGUCACCUGCUCUUCCAACUCAGCCAGCCAGGAACCCUUGCAUUAGGUGAUUAUUAACACUGAUUUACUCUGUUGUUCUUCCCAAGUCCACUUCCUUGCUUCCCAACCCUGAAACUGCGGUUUAUCAUGUUGUUUUAUAGUUAAUAUUUUUAUACUGUUCACUAAAUACAUAUAUAACUCAAUAUAUUCUUUUUAUUUGUCUUAAAUGGUCUACUAUAUUAAUUGUGGAAGAUUGUAUUAUUGUUCCUAAUGAUCCAUGGUGCUUCCUUUCAGUGAAUCAUGCAUCCCCUUCUGUCUCCAUGUGACUUCAGUGAUGUUCCUCGCUCUUCUACUACCCCAAAGUCAGAUGUGGCCAUGUGACCUGCUAUCUCCAUGCUGAAACUUCAGGUGGCAUGGCAUGUUCCUUUUCUUGCUCAGUCACAAAUCAAGGUCUUGCUGGCCUGUCACAGACCUGAAGUUAAGUAAAUCCCAAAUGACUGGAGCCCUGCAGGCCCAUCCCAUAGAAAUGAUGGUGAGAUGUAUCUAUUAAUCAUAUGAGUCCAAUUCUGCUUCGGGUAUUAUGUGGCAGGUGUGUGUCAGCAGAGUAAAA